UUCUAAAAAAUUUAUUUUUUUUAACUUAAUUUAAACGACACCGUUUUAAAAUAGAGGGGCAAAGUUUAUUUUUAAUUAAAAUCCCACUCAAUGUGAAAUAUUAAAAAAUUCAAUAACUUAUACUAGUACUACCUAAUCACUUUUCCUAAUUCCAUAUCUAUGUGACUUUAACCCUACAGGCUACAAUUUGGGUUCAUCUGCUCAUCGUCUUCGAGCACCGCCGCACGACAUCAUUUGUUGAUUCAAAUUUUUGAGUUUCAACCUCAAUCUCUCACCGGUGUCUUCCCCAAUUUCACUAGUUGUUAUGACUUCUUCGGACCUUAUUGCUGGAUUUGAUCAAGAAGCAGCUACUGCGGCACACUAAAGGCAAGUUUCUUUCUUUUUUAUGACUAACUAUUUUGCACUGUUGGUCUUUUCCUUUUUGGAAUUCUAUUUCCACUUUAUUUUGCUAGCUGAUUUUGAUCCCAUUAGAUGGCUAGACAAGUCAUUAAACUUUGUCUAGCCCACUCCUAUCUAAACUAAUCCGCUCAUUUGCCAACACUAUCGUCAUCCUUACCUUUUUUUGAACCCCCUUGUUAGAAAUCCUGCGUCCGCCACUUGUACCAUGUAUGCUCACUUGUUGCCUUAUUAUAACUGAGCAUUUUUCAUAGCCUUUACUUAUGAAACUUGAGCCAUGCCGAAAACACCAUAGUUGUUAUCAUGAUUAUUGCCUUUUGCUCUUCCAUAUCGAAUCUACAUCAGAUUCUGUUCUGCCAUGGAAAUCAUGGUUACCAUCUUCUGGCUCGCACAACUGAUGAGAUAUGAUGCACAAAAACCAAGAAAGCUACUGGUUAACUGUUUAUGCGAGGAUUGCGAGUGUGGUCUCCCUUGUGAUGCAUGUCCAGGAAGCUGUGAAAUUCAUUGAAGGUUGAUGUAUCUCCUAUUGACAUCUUAUGCCUAUGUAGUUGGAUAACUAUUUCAAUAUAAUUCUUACAGUCUCUUCUUCCUCAGCUAUACGCAUUAUAUGGUCUGUUGUUGUUGUUACAAAUUUAUGCCAAGUAUGAAUAAAGCAGAACUUGUUACCAUGAAAUCAUUUAUGUAGAUGUUUAAUAAAACAUUACAUAAAACAUUACAUAUGCUAUGCAUUGUUAGAGCUUGAUUAGUUAUUGAGCUAUGCUCCAACUUAUUAGAGAAGAAUAAAAUCAUAAAUUUAUGAUGUAGUAUAAACAAGUCUAGGCCAAGAAACAGACAAGUGACAGAUUUAAAGAAAAUUGCAAAGUAAGCAACUUUCCUUUGCAUUCCUACAAGAGAUUGUCUGGUAAGGCUACGUACAAUAGACCCUUGUGUUUAGGCUUCUUCGAACCCGUGAAAAAUUUAGUGUACUUGCCCCGACCCGAAUCGGGUCCUGACCCGAACUGGGGCUGGCCAUGACGGGUAUCUCAAACCUACCCUGGGCCGGAGACCACCCCUUUAGCCUUACCUCAAGAGCACAAAAAUAAUAAACAACAAAAACCAACCAAAAUUAAGGAUAGAUAAGUUAAAUGACAAUACUAAGAAUCCAAAACAAAUGAUCAACCCACACUUGUCCACAAAAGCCUCUAAAACUAGAAUACCAACUAAGUCGGGACAUGCACCCGACUACGACCAAAAAGGAUCCAAAAUGAAAUACUGAGAUAAUACUAAAAACAAUGAAAUGAUCGGGUCUUCCGCAAGAUGGAGGCUCACCACUUCACAGCAGAUCCACUAGACUACCAAAUCACCAAACGCUGCUCAGGAGUAACAAAAAAACCCUCAAAUCCUACACCAUGAAAAUCACCUAACGCUGCACAGGAGCAAUAAACUAGCCCUCAGACCCUACACUGUGAAAUAAUGUAGUAUCCAGGGACGGUCAGUGGGGCGAGCACUGACAUGUAACUCAAGGGAUAGGGAUAGUCAGUGGGGCGAGCACUGACAUGUAACUCAAGGGAUAGGGAUAAAAUUAAUGCAAUUACCAAAAAUCUAGUCAUAAACCAUAUGCACCAUAUUCAUAUACAUAUAUAUAGGAUGCCAGGUUAGGGACAAGUUCUAUGAACAUUAGAGUUUAAAGUAUUAACCUAAACUAUGUAGCUUGCUCCGUCCUAAAUACACCAAUGGGCUAUAUGGGUCCAGUUCCCCUGUCACAACCCAAAUGGCCAUGAGUGGCACCCACACUAAUCUUUUCGUGGGAGAACCAUCUAAACCCAACCAUUACCCAAUCACUUAGUCAAUAUUAAAACAAUAUCAUCAUCAGACCAACUUGACGACAAUAAUUCAGAGAAAAUCAUUAGUAAUGUGGAAAUCAAAUAAACUACUUACUAAAAUCCCCAAGAUUCGAAAGUCAUCGUACAAGAUCUUCGAACAAAGAUCAUGUCUAAAGAGAUAUCCAAAAAUAAAGUAAAUAAAGAAUGUUUCAUUGCCCAAAAGAUGGAUAAGAACAAAUAGGAUGACCCAUGGCAACCUAAAGAUGGAGUGCUUACCCUUGGAUCAAGAUCUGCUAUCAAACUUUAGAGGUGAGGUCAUGUAUGAACCUCUGGAACACUUUCUGCACUCAACAAAAUAAAAGUACAGGGUAGUAUCAGUACAAACCACUAUGUACUGGUAGGUAUCAUAGGCCAACUCAAUUUAAUAGCAUGUACACAACAUAAAUCAAAUAACAAGUAGACAAACAUCGUCACAUAACAAAAAUUCAAUGAAUUAAUAAUACAACAAUAACAGAUCAAAUAGUUUUCACAACCAAGCCAUAAAAUCAUCAAGAGUAUCAACCAUACUAUAAACAUCCACAGAAUCAACACAAAUAGGUACGCACAUGUUAUGAGACUUAUUUUUGCCCAAAUAGUCAUGACCUGCAGGGAAUAAUCAGUGUUCAUGUACCGUACUGGCAUGGUACCUGAUCCCCAAUAAUAAGUAAUAACCGAUCCUCCAUAAACAAGUAAUAUCAAUAUACAUAUCCAUACUGGUAUGGUACCCGAUCCACCAUAAACAAGUAAUAUCAAUAUACAUAUCUAUACUGGCAUAGUAACCGAUCCUCCAUAAAUAAGUAAUAUAAAUAUACAUAUCCAUACCGGCAUCAUCACGACCCGAGCUGAGGUCUUGGCCGUAAUGAGCAUCCCGAACCAGAAAGGCCGAGUGCCCUUCACUAUCUUUCAAUCAUGCAUAUAUUCAUAUAUAGAAAAAGAGGAAAUGCAAAAGUACACAACAAUACAGAAUCAUGGCCAAUAUUACAAUUCAGUUGAACAAAUUUGGAACGAAAUUCAUAAAUCUCUAACAAUAUCUAACAUUAGUCUGCAAAAUCUCUAAUACAUCAAAGCCAACGUCUUGCCUAAAAUUGGGACAAGGCCCCCCAGUUAGAGCAUAAAACAUAAAGAGAUAACGAAGUUUAAUAACUAGGCCUUCCGGAAUAGAGAAGGCUCACCAAUUGCAACUUCUGACAUAUAAGUCUACUGCUGAAUGGGACCCCAGGAUUGUGCCUCAUAUUCUAAAAUAUAGGGGUUCAAUACAUAUGUAUUGGUACACAGAGCAAUCCAAAUUAAUGAACUGUUAUACAAUUAUAAGUGAGAGCAAUUUAUAAACACUUUACAUAAGUUAUAUGAAAAUCAUAUCGAGAUAUUUGCAAAACUUAAAACAUUUCUUUGAAAUCCACGACUCACUCUUUUAUUUUACUUCUAAACUAAGUGGUACACCCUAUAACUCUACAUCCCAUGGGCUAUAUGGAAUCCGCCCUUAACUCGGUAGCCAAGCAUCCAACCUAAGUUUACCGCAAGGGUUGGAAUCUUUAUCUCUAAUAUGCCAAAGGGCACUAGGCCAUCGUAUGGUCCCUUUUGGGGACAAAAUAAACCCGUAUCGACAAAACACGAUUUCUGACAAAGAGCCCUUACACUCAAAUGCCUUCUUCGGGUAACCAACUAACUCUCUUUAAGCUCAUUUUAAAAUCUUUAAGACACAUAUUCUUUGAAAUCAAAAUCUUAAAAUCUGACUCUGUUAUGGCAUUCAUCUGUUUGGUAUCGUUAUACCACGACUUGCAAGUCUUAUAUCUAAGACAUAAAAUAUCAUGAUACAAUCCUUUUAUUCAAAAUAUAAUUUUUGGACCACUAAAUCAUUCAAACAGUACAAGAGAAUUUGUAUAUCAAAAUUUAUGAAAAACUUAUGCAAAGAUUCUCUCUUUCAAUUCAGAAACAUGAUGGUCAAUUACCUUCUAGAAAAACAUGUAAUUCUUUCAAUAAUCAUCUUUAACAUUUACAAAUAAGAAAUAUCCCUCUCUUCAAUUCACAACCAACAUAAAUUUUAUAAAUGAUUGUAAAGCCCUUGGUUUGACAUGCAAUUGAGUAACUCAUAACUUGUAAAUCUAGAAAUAACACAAUGAGAGAAGGAAAUACAUUAUUCAUGCUCUCAAUUCAUAUAUAAAGACUGAAAAUACAUAAGUGUAAACAGUGGUUACACAAAUCCUUUUUGCCAGAAAUAUAUUAGAAACCAUCAGGGUAUGCAUAGAGCUGACAGUGAUAUAUGCUUUGGGUGUGGCAAGCCAGGACACAAGAUCAGGGAUUGCCCACAGAGUGGUCAGCAGGGUCCGUCCAGUCAUCCCCCAGUUACAUUCGAUCGCCCGACUCAGCAGGGUGCUACUUCCAGUACCACCAGUAGUCAGCGCCCAAAUAGAUUGUAUGCACUUAGUCCCGACAGGAUCAGGAAAAUUCUCCUGAUAUGGUUACUUGUACGUUACAAGUCUUUUAAUUACAUGUUUAUACUUUACUAGACCCCAGAGCUUCUCUUUCUUUUGUAACUCCUUAUAUAACCGUUAAUUUCCGCGUCAUUCUGAGGAUUUAGCAGAACCCUUCUUAGUGUCUACCCCAGUAUGUGUCUCUAUUGUAGCUAGGUAGGUAUACAUGAACUGUUCGAUCAUAAUAUCUUAUAAAGUCACUUUUAUCGAUCUUGUAGAGUUAGAGAUAAUUAAUUUUGAUGUCAUUCAUAGCAUGGAUUGGCUCUACUCAUGCUAUGCUUCAAUUGAUUGUAUAAACAUAGUUGUUCAUUUUCAAUUUUAACAUUAACCAG